rnacentral:lncRNA from 1 species
CUCCUCCGCUGGCUUCUUCUCGGCGGGCUUUUUCUCUGCCUUUGGCGCCAUGGAAAUUAGAAUUCAGGUAAGGAUUUAAAAUCGAGGUUUUAGGGUUUGAAAGUUGGAAGAAAAUGAGAAACACGGUGGAUUGUUGUGUAAAGAUUAAAGUUUCGUAGAGAUAUUAUAUAGGAAAGGCGAGUGGCUUCUUAUUGGUUGGCUAACUUUCACACGGAUUAGCGACGUGGCGGAAAAUACGCUCGUUAGAUGAGUCCUAUGAACAGCAAAACUAAUGGAUGGCCGUGAUUAAAAUUUAUCUUUUGGGGAUCUGAAAUAAGGCGGUCUUUCCAUUUUUUAUGUUUAAUUUAAAUUCACUCCACCUCUUUUCAACUUGAUAUAGAAAUGCAUUUUUAAGAAAGAAAUAAGCCGGUCAUCUUUGAAUUUAUGUUUUUCUUCAUAAAUGUAUUACACGUUUGGCAUUUGUGUGAUUGCUUACAUAGAUGACACCUCCAUUUAACGGGUAAUUAUGGUUUAUUAAGAUCUAGGAUGAGGAAAACGACAAGGAUCUAAAACAAAAUUUGGGAGGAGCGUCGAGAGUGAUCCAGCAUGUGUCAAGCCGCAUACAAAAAGGUUAUGGAGGGAUAUCACAAUCAACGGGUAAAGGAAAAAGCUUUUCAAGUAGGAGACCAUGUCCUAUGGCAUAACGAGGCCAGCCAUGCACAACCAUAUGACAAGUUAGGAGCAAAAUGGGAAGUACCAUACAAAGCGGUCGAGACGCAUCGCAAUGGGUCCUACUCUCUCGAAACGAUCGAGGGAAAACCAAAACCAAGGAAAUGGAACGCAAUGCAUUUGAAAAAAAUCUCAUUUUUAGAAGACACCUCAAGCCACAGCUGAGCAAACCCCUAAGCAGAAGGGAUAGCACACAUCGUAAAGUGAAUCAUGGUCGGAUUGAUCACCCGGACCAGCAAACGGACACUCCGUGCAGUUCGCCUAGGAACCUUAGUGUGUUGAAAUGCAAAACAUCUUAACAUGAUGACGACAAAUAUUAUGUAUCUCAAAGAUAAAAACCUUAGUGUGUUCGAUAAUACAAGCGCUUAUUCAAAAACAAAAUGCAUUACAUAUAGGAUACUAAGUGUAUUCAUACUUUAAAAUGCCAUCAAGAUACUCGAAGUAUCUACACACAAUAUAAACCUCAGUGCCUUCCUGAAAUAUACUAGUGCAUUAGAGCAUGGCACAUAUAUCAAACAUUAAUACAUUAAAGCACAACAUUAUCUUAUAUAGAAACGUUGCAAUUUUGAAAAGCCCAAAUAGUCCAAAAUUAUAGCACAGCGACAACAAUGCAACAAUCAGGCUACACAUGUAAACAUCAGCACAAAAUACCAAGACAUACUUGUUUCUUUACAUUUAGCAAAACACGGGUCUAAUAAAAGCAAAGGUAAAGAAACAACACAAAAAGUAAAACAUAUUUCAUGCCUUGAAGGGUAGCACAGUGGAAUGAGUCUAGAUCAAAUAUUACUUCCGCCAGCACCAUCAACACCGCCUUCACAGUUGCUACCACCAGCACCAUCAACACCACCUUCACCGCCAUAAUCUCCGUUUCCACCAGCACCAUCAACACCGACUUCAUUGCCGCCUCCACCAGUACCAUCAGCACCACACAUAACACCUUCACCGCCACUAUCGCCUCCUCCACCAGGACCACCUUCACUACCGCUUACACCAGCACCACCAGCAACGCCAUCAUCAUUGACAUCACCACCAACGCCCAUAUAUACACCAAGAACAAUUGCACCACCAUCAUAUCCAACACCAUCCAUAAGAUUGUCACCAUCAUUAAAAGCGCACAUGAGCCUAAGACCAGCCAUAUCCAAUUGCCCCAAGCCAAGAAUCGCAACAUAAUCCAUGGUCGCAAACGCUAAUAGUUCCUCUUCAAGACUGGAUGUAUGGAUUGAAUGGGAGUUGCUACCCUCCGGGUCGUAGGUCCCGAUAUCAAAUCUCAGCUUUCAGGUUGGCGUGCCUAAACUCCUCGUUGGCAACGAAUGCAGCGUGACGAAUCUGACUGACACCACAUGUGAACUCCGGAUGUUUAAUGAGCUCAUUCAUCACACGAACAACACCAACAUGUAACAACCAAUCACGAUCUGCACACAACGAUUCCAACUCCACCCGCAUCACAUCUAACUGCCGGUCAUGAUCAAAAAUAUCACGCUCCAAACUUUCGUUAUGGAUCAUCAAACCCUCGUUAGAUUGGUUCAAGACAUCAACACGGGCUUCUAGCGAUGACCGAACAUCAUCCACAUAUGCCUUUUCACCAUCAAGUAGAUCAUACAUCUCGUCAAAACCUUAUGCUGCCUUCUCCAGCUCCACGACUCGACACUUCAAGUUAUCUUCGCUAGCCACAAGAUCAGAAUGUGCUCGCUCAAGGUUGUCAAGCUGCUAAAUCCACCGGGAACCAGCGACCAAAUAGCACAUAGCUUACGCGGCGGCGUAGGCCAUGUUCUAAGAUAUAGAAGAGCUACCUAUUGCAUCCAUAUCGCUAGUGAUCACUGGAGGGAGAGCAUAACGAGCGAGCUCUAUGGCAUUUGCACUCACAAAUAAUCAAGAGUCAGUACGAAGAUUCCAACUCGAGACAAAUGGGACACACCAUGGCUAGGAGUCCCAUGUAAACCCUCCAUAGGAAUAGAAUCAUGGUGCAUAACCCGUGCCCCACUACACGACGAGAAUGGGGUAGAAGAAAACCCAAUCAUAAUAGUUGCUAAUAUGACGGGUUGCUUAGACGCCCCUUGACAACCCUCAAACUGUUGAACGUCAUCAUCGGGUAUAACCACCGCAUACGACGGUUGUCUAAGGCGACAAGGCGGAGGAAGGGUCUCAUGCAGAUCCACCACACAGUUCUCCAAGUUCCCGUGGUACCGUUUCCGGAGGACGACGUCCAUGGAAACGGAAGACUCGGUACAUGUGGAAACGGAAGACUCGGAGCAGACAAGUCUCGUCUUUUAUUUUGAUUGUAUAUUUUUGGUGUCUUAUUACAAUGAAAGAACACACAUGUAUUAAACUUUAUUUAUAAUGCAAUGGAUGAUGUUGUUGCUUGUUUAUUAUAUUACAUUGUUGUGAUACUGUACAUGACGUCCUCCACCCCUGAACGUUUCCGCCGUUCGUGGUUUUGGGGUGUGACAGAUUGGUAUCAGAGCAUUGUUUAUAGUGAAUUAAGUAUAUCAACCCAUAAAAGAUAUACUAACUAUAAAUACAUGGGAUUAAAACACUCUGUCUAAGAGUUUAUACUUUUAAAUAAUAAAAUAUUUAACAAAGUAUACGUGCAUGCAUUCAUACUAAAAUCAGUGUCACAACGACAAGAACAAAAGUAUUACGAUUGUUGAAUAUCACAAGUAAGCCUGGGGAUAUAUGGUCAGUCUUGGGAAUGGCAUAGCCUGAUCAACUAUGCUGGUCCGAGGAGUGAUUAGAAUAUGCCCGAGAAUGGUUGUGAUAUGGCAACAAGUCUAAAAACUUACCAACACAACCAUAAAGAAAUACCAUAGGGGUAUUUGGUCUUACUGUAAUUAUCUUAGUCAGUUCGUCUAUUUUAGCUAAUCCUUUUGUUGUUGGGCUAUGGGGAUUUAGUCCAUGAGACACAUUCAUUAAUCAUUUAUUCUUAUCCAUUUCGUCAUCUUUUAAACGUAUAGUUAAAGAUGCCGCCACGCAGGAAUCCAAGGAAGAACCCAAACAACGCAGCACCAAUACCACCACCUCCACCACCACCUGUACCUCUUCAACCACCAAAUCCUUUCGAUGCAAACAUGUUACAGGCAGCUUUCACAGCAGCAGUUAUUGUCUGGAUAUCUGGGAUCCCUCGGUAGGGAAGAUCCUGUUAUUGUCUCUUGUCAUCAAGAAUCGAAGGUGGGCUACUCACCUUGUCUCCAGGAGGGUUCACUACUGGAUUGGAUCAUUGUGGAGGUUUCGCGAAUCGUACACGAGAAGUUACCUGACAUUAUUUAGUAUGUUACUGGCAGGGUAACCGCUAGGUUUCAGGGUCAGACAACGACUGUGCAGACGGUUGAUAGGGUAGUCGGGGUAACUCGGGAGCAAGAGAUCGGGUUAGACGUGCAGGUAGGGAAAAGAAAGCGAAGUUAUAGUCAGACUCAACAAGUUGUGCAGUCGGAUUCCGCCAUAGUUAACGCUAGAGACCUGAAUGGUUGAAGUGGAUGUGAAAGGGGUAAAGGGGCACAUGAGAAUGGUCGUAUUAGGUCUAAGUGCGGAAGGUGCGGGUGGAAAAGUCACAAUCGUUGGGAAUACAUGUUGGAGGUAGAGUUGUGCCAUCGUUGUCAUUAGUGUGACAACCCGAUAUUUCAACUCUUUGUAAUGACCUAAAAAGUCAAGUAUUGUAACCACUUUUGAAUUAAUAAAAUUAACUUUGAUAAUAAAAUGUCCAAAAAAGUUCUAUUUUAAUUCCAUCUAUGUUUAAAUGUCAUUAAACCGGGAUCUUACGUAAAAAGAAUGCCCAAAUCCGACUUCGUAUAUUGAAGUUAAGAAUUUUCCAAGUUCGGCUUAGCAACAGACAGCUAAAAACUCGAAUCGGAGAUCGAGCGACUUUUGGCCGGAAUGACCUAAACGAGAAUCGAAGGUCUCGACAAUGGUAUUUCAGCGGUGAAAAGUUUGGCAAAAACCGACGUCAGAUAAAGAAGUUAUGAAUUUUUAAAGAAAUUCCUUAAUCACGUCAUUUUAUAAUUAAAUAAUAAAAAUAAUUUCGGAAUUUGCCAACGGGGUCUAAAGGAGAGUUGUAGAGCGUAGUCUCACCUUCGCGUGGAUAUAAAGACCAUCGAAAAUGGAGUUCGUAUGAAGGAGAUAUGAUUUUUUGAAGUUUAUUAAAUAAAUUAUAUAUAAAAUUAAUUCAAAAAUCCGGUAAUAUCCGAGGGAGGAGUCAGCGCCCUCAUCUGAGUUACACGCUGCGUAACCUCGUACGCCCCGCGUACCCGAGGGCCUUGGUCUCGGUCCGUCCACGUCGCCCCUAUGCGAAGCUACCGACCCGCCCCAUCCGACCCGAUCCGUCCCAUCCGAAGCCGAGGCAGUCGAGGACUCGGUCAUGCAUGACGUACGCGUACGCGCUGCGUACGAGCGUACACCCCGCGUACUGAGGCUUCUCAUACCCCUAUAAAUAGAAUGCGAGGGUUUCCGGAAAAAUUGCUCAUUUCUUCUCAUUUCUCUUGCGUUUUGCCUCGUUUUCCGUGCCCGUUCAAACCCGAAGCCCUGGUCUUUUUGCUCAAGUCCCGAAGGUCGAUUUUACUCCCGAGAUUCCCGAGAAUCCCGAGAAAAAUCCGUUUCCCGAGACGAAACUCUGCCCGGUUUUCCAUCUCGCUAUCUUCAAACUUUCAAGUGAGUUCAUACCCCUAAUCAAUAUUUUAAAUGAUUUUAAAUGCUUUAAUGGGGGGGGGGGGAAUACAAGUAGAAACAAACAUGUUAUUUAAUCAUUGAUAUGUAUUUUAUAACUGUGUUUGUCAUUUAACAUAUUUCACAUGCUACAAAAUGUGAUGCAUGAAAUGGUUUUACAUCUUAAAAACACAUUGUUACCAAAUGUUUUACCUUUGAAAUGUUUAUUAAAAUGACAUCAAGUCAUUGUUAAUUAUUGUUCAAAACCCAUAGAUGUCUUACAAAAACCAUUUUUCAUUCUUGAACUAAACUAUGCAUAUACACUUAUAUUCUUAUAUAUGUAUUGAUGUUAUAGCGUACAUCUUUCAUUUAGUUUCCCACACUCUUGAGUAGUAAGAGUGUACAAACCUACAUGAUCAUCCAGUUAUAUUACAGUAGAUUAUCAUAGGGAUAAUUUGAAGAUAUCAAACAUUACUUCUAUUACAAGGAAUCACACAAGAGUCAGUUCAUUCAUGAGUUCUUACUAGAACCUUACCUGAUACAUGAGUACCUUUACAUAUGCUUACAUGAUACAUGAACACAUUACAAGAGUACCUUUACGUAGAUACCUUUACCUGUGUAUACUUGUUUAUAGUGAAUAUUUGUAUCUCAAAUUGCGAGGAUGAUUUAUUAGUACCUUCUGUGUAAAUCUUCCUGCCUAUCCCACAGUACCUCGGGAUAUCUAAGACAGGACCCUAUCCCACAGUACCUCGGGAUACCUAGAUGGGCCUCUAUCCCACAGUACCUCGGGAUAUACGUACGGGACUAACCAUUCCGGAACCCAUCUGUUAGCAACAGUGGGUGAUGAACAUCUACGGAUGCCUACGGUUAUUACUUAUACUAGGAGUACCUUUACGGGGACUAACCCUUCCCUCGCCCUGCUGCUGCUACAGAGGACAAUUGGACAAUCUUCGGAUGUUCAUUAGGUUAUAUAAGUACAUGUUAGCACCAGUACCUCCGGCUAACAUUUACUUUAUUACGUAUUUCCUAUUACUUUAUUUUGUGAUACCUUUCACAUAAACGAUGAGUUAGACUAAGCACUUUUAGUACCAGUCAAUACAAAAAACUACACUUCAUACUUACAAAACAUUCGGGUCUUGGUAGAAGACUACACUUCAUACAUACUGAACAUUCAGGUCUUGGUAGAAGACUACAUUUCAUACUUAUAGAAAAUAAGGUUUUUUCUAGGGAUUUCAUACUUACCUCAACAUUUUCAUUUAAAGGUUUACAUGGCUUUCAUAACAGAUUUUCACAAACAAGGCAAUGGCACUUAUAUACUUAUGAAUUCACCAGCUUAAAGCUGAUACUCGCUUUCAAAAUAACUUGUAUUCUCAGGUCAUCAGUAGACAGGUACGGAGGCUAGGUUUUGAGAAGUCGGAGCAGACAAGUCUCGUCUUUUAUUUUGAUUGUAUAUUUUUGGUGUCUUAUUACAAUGAAAGAACACACAUGUAUUAAACUUUAUUUAUAAUGUAAUGGAUGAUGUUGUUGCUUGUUUAUUAUACUACACUGUUGUGAUACUGUACAUGACGUCCUCCACCCCUGAACGUUUCCGCCGUUCGUGGUUUUGGGGUGUGACAAUUAGCCCGGACGUAUCAGGGCAAGCUACCCCCGUAUAGUGGUUAAGGCAGCUCAUGUUUCAUCACAGAUACUUCUGCAGGAGAAAGGGAGCUCAUGUUCCAACGCCCAUGGUUCCACAGGAAGUUAAGAUCGAUCUGCAAUAGAUCGUUGGUAUGUAUUUCAAUUUCAGAUUAUGUUAUGAUUUUAAUUGAUAUGGUACUACAUCGAUGUUAGUAAAUUUCAUUUCAUAAUAUUAUGUUUUCUGCUUAUGACUCAGUUAUAUGCCAUCUGCAUACCACAAAUGUGAAAUUAGUAGUUUGAAUAUGUUUCCCUUUAGAGCAGGUAAUCAGGAUGCAGUCACUGUAGCAAGUGUGAGUGGGGAUCGAGAGGCGUUCUGUUAGUCUGCAAGAGUGGUUCGGGUUUGGUAUUGGUUAGUUUUGGAGCUCUAGCGGUGGUAAGCGUGGUUGUUGGCAGAUCGGCCUUUGGAUGGAGAAAAGGAUUGGGAAUCCUUUCCAAGUAGGGACUUGUAGGGAUCUAGUUGAAUCGAAGUGGGGGAGUAUUAUCCCGAUAGUCUGGAACUGGAGUAGGAGCGCAACUUGGAUGCUUUUGCAUCCUUGCUAAGAAGGAAAGCAGUCGAGAUAGCCGUUUGGAUAGAGCAACGCGAAGUCAGGAGUUUGAGAAACAUCCCGACAUUGAGUUCAUGUAUUCUGCAGUAGUAGAGGACCGGUUUGGGAAACCAGGUUGAUGUUUUUCCUGGUAGCACGCGAGUUAAUCAGGAUGUUAGACUGUGGAGCGCUCGUUGUUGGACGUUUUCAGUCUGACAGCCAGUAGUUAGACGGUGUGGGAAAGUGUUGUAAGACUGCAGGAUAGUCGUAGCAUUCAUUAACAGUUGAGUUAGAGAAGUGUGGGCAGGGGCCCGUAUCUCUUAGUUAACGGAGUGUGGGCGAGGCCUGUAUCUCCUAGUUAGCCGGAUAUAGAUUGAAAAAGGAUAGUUUGUUGAGUUUCAGGAUGAAGUUGGUCCUGCAUAGCCCUAGAAAGGUGAGACCUGUGGGGGAGGGCACUCUGAGAUAUAGUUUGGGUGAGACUGUGGGCAAGGCCCGUAUGAUCGUAGCAAGCGCAGGUAGGACCUGGUAGAGACCGUAGGGUCAAUAUAGGGGAUCGAGGAUUCCAAGAUUUAUAGAGCUAGAGUGGCAAGGCAGACGGGGCAGUUUUAGAUAGCCAGAUUUUCUUCGGAAGCCGCUAGGAGCGACUGAGGGUUUGAGUUGGGUUUAGUAACCGGUGGGAGUCCGAUAAACCAGAAAAUGGCAGAUUAGUUGGGACCAGGGUGGUCUCGAUUCACCCGGAAAGCGGAUAAGAGAUAGCAGGACCUUCGGUUAUGGGUAGCGAUAAGGGAAUUCUCGUAUGGAGUAGUUAAAACGCCACUCACAUCAGGGUUAAAUAAUCUCAGAGUGAAGGGUUUGACUCUGUUGUGCAGCUCUCGUUUGAGUGUAACCGUUGCAGGGAGGAGUCUUUUACUCAAAGGAUUAUCUGAUCCAGUUACGGGGUUGGGUGUUCAACACCAGGAUAUAAUAAGAGAAAGCAUCCAGUGGGUAUCAGCGAAGUGACCAGCACUGGGAGUAGAUGGAGAGGUACAUACAACAAAGGGUAUGUCCUUCAUAGAGAAAAGAGAGGGUGUUGUUUUUGGAAAGUUGUCUUGGGAAGGCCAGUGACAUCGUAGGGUAAAAAAGGUGAACCCAUUAUAUGUCAAGUGUAGGUGCUCUGGAAGUACUGAUAUGGUUACUGGUUGAGUAAGAGUGUUUUACUUGAAGGUUGGAGUGUUUGCAUCGUCUCAGGAUGAUAUUCUCAAGGGUUGCUCCAAGCAGGCCAGGUAUGUGGCGAUUAGGAACGCCGGGAGUGGAUACGGGGUUGUGAGAUGGAGAGGACUUCGAGGACGAAGUCUAGUUUAAGUGGGGGAGAGUUGUAACACCCCAAAUUUAGAAGGCCAAGAAAGGAAAGGAAUUACCCCAAUUCAAAGAGGUCUACUCGUCGAGUUCAGGGAGGAACUCGAUGAGUAGGAGCAAGUUCGGUGUCGCGGAUUAAGUGGCCGACUUAGCGAGUCAGGGGACUGACUCGACGAGUCUGUCCUGGGUUGGGAAACCCUAAUUUCGGGACUUGGUGCCCUAUUUAAGCAUCAUAUUCUCAUUUCCUCGGCCUCAUCUUCAGCCUCCAGACCCCAAACCCUCACCCACGAAACCCUAGUGCACCUUGUGAGUGUUUGAGGCACCUUUGUGUGAUUUGUGUACUCUUGAAGAGGAAUAAGGAGAAUAAGGAAGUUGGAGGUUCAAUAAGGAGGAAGUAGAUCUAGAAGAUACACUCCAGUGGCAACAUUUCUUGGUAAUCAAGUCUUCAUCUUGGCUUUUGAUUUUAUAGAUCUCUUUGUUGUCCCUUUUAUGAAGAUUUUGGUCCAUGAAUGGGUGCUUGUGGGAGUUAGACGUCCCCAAUCAUGAUCCUUUCAGAUAUGUGAGUAUUGUGGAUAGUUAAGGCAUAAAGGUGGAAGCUUUAUGCCAUAACUCCCCAUGCAAAGUUUAAGAGGUUGUUAUGGCCUUUUGAGCAAAAAGGGCCAUGCAUGGAUGUAAAGGCGGUAGCUUUGCAUGUUAUUCCGAACCUAAAAGGUUAGAUAUGGGUCAUGGAUGCUUUGCGCUCAACUGAAAUCGUUUGAAAUAGAUGUGGACAUAGAGUGACUCGGCGAGUCACUAAUAGGACUCGGAGAGUCAGGCAGUUUCAUUACCCAAAACCCUUCUGCUAGCAGAUAUGAGUUAGGUUAGUAAGGGCCUCAGUCAGUCUGGGUUCAUAGUGGACCUGAAGAUCAUCGUACUCGAUGAGUUCAAUGAGGAACUCGGCGAGUCCAAGGCAAUAUCCCUAAUUUAUGAAGGUCGACUUGAUGAGUUCAAAGAAGAACUCGACGAGUCAGAUGAAGAAGGGUCCCAAAGUGUUGAAGGCGCACUCGAAGAGUUUAAGGAUAACUCGAUGAGUAGGAUCAAAGUCCAUAAGUAACCUGUGAAUUAUGGGACUCGACGAGUUGAUGAGUCAACUCGACAAGUUGAAGUCAACUCGGAGCGUUGACUUUGACUUGGUUUAAAUUUUGAGGGUAUUGUGAUCUAAGCGUUAUUUUUUGUAUUAAUAGUUUGGGAAUCCGAAGGAUCAGCAGUUCAGGAGUCGCCUGAUAGUAGUCAGAAGUGUUCAACUAGUCUUUGGCAGUGCAAGGUGAGUUACCUUCCACUAGCGGUGGGUCUAAGGCCACAAUGCCAACCCACCGGUAGGAGUAUAUGUUGGACAAAUGUCUUUGUGAUAAUGUUAUGUGUUUACUGCUACUUAAUAUGUUUAUGUGUUAGCAUGAUAUGAUGUUACGUGAUCAUAACAGUAGGGGGGCAUAGUUCCCAAGUUACCGGCCGAUAGGGUCGAAGGGGUAGUUAAGUACCCAGCUAUGCUAGACAGAUUAUGAUUAUGUGAUAAUAUGUGGUAGUCCGGUCGAGAGGAACGAUGGGGUAGGCCAACACCCAGAUAUGCUAGGCAAAGUCACUGGUCGAGAGGAUUGGAGGGGUAGGCCAGCACCCACAUAUGCUAGGCAAGGUCACCGGUCGAGAGGACCGAAGGGGUAGGUCAGGCACCCAGAUAUGCGUGGAAGUAUGUAUGUCAUGUGUUUGUAUGGUAUGUGGUAUGAUUGGGGAACUCACUAAUCUUUGUGCUUACGGUUUUCAGUGUGGGUUUCAGGUACUUCCGGUAGUGGAGGGAAGAGCUCGGGGUGAUUGCAUGACACACACACCAAAGGAGUUUUAGCCUGGGAUGUUUACUCUGAUAAAACGAACAAGUGUUUUGAAAUGAUACCUUGUUGUGAUAUAUAAACCUUUAGUUAUGGUUGAAAUAACUUAAUACCUAUGGUUUUAUUAAUGUUUUUAAAAAAAAUUGGUCAUGAUUUUUGGGAUGUUACACCAAUCGUUGGCCCCGACACAGCAGGGGACACGAUUAGCCGACCAAAGUAACGGAUGUUGUCGGAACUGCAGUCCCUGUUCCCCGUACGGAACAAUGAGGAUCCUUAGUUUAAAAGGGCCUAUGCCAUACCUUGAGUAGUAAGUGAUCUCCCUCGGUUCUCAUCACUCUCACCCAGAUACCUCCCACUGACUUAACCACCUGAGCGUCUUUCCGGGACCUCCUCCCAGGAAAUGGAUGACGACCUUCCUUGUUGUGACUUUGCAGAUCCCUCCGACAAUAGUGAACACUAUGAGAUCCGGUGGUCGUAACCAUGGUUGCAUUAGUCUAUAAAUACGCUUUAUCAGUGAUUCAAUGUCAUAAUAAUAAUUGAUCUACUUAUGGGAGUGAUGUCUAGGCUUGAUUUAGUGAGGUGUUUAAAUUUAGAUUUCCAAAUAGUAUACUCUGUAUAACAAAUGACCUCUACCUCCGAUAUAAUCCUACCUAGUUAUUCCUUAUUUGAUAGAUCUUGAUGUAGACACUGAGAUUACUGAGGAAUCUAAACUAUCAUUGUUAUAUUCACAGAGAAUGUGAAACUAUACCAAGACUUAGUGCUAUUUAAAUCUAGAUCUAUUGAAACAAUAAGGUGUUAGGUGAAGCGCUGCCCAAACCUAGAAUCAUCCACUAUUGUCAGGUGAGUGUGUAGUUACUUUCAAGAGCACAAAUUAAUAAAAGUAUUUAUUAAAUGCUAAUUGUAUUAUUUAUACUAUGUGUUAUUUGUAUAACCAUAAUAGUACUACUUGAUUUUUAUUUGUAUUGUAAGUAUAAUGCCUUUAACUAUAGUUUUGUUUAGUUUUGAAAAUCAGGCUUACAAAGGAUGUUUAGUUCAAACCAAGUAGAAUGUCAGAUAUAUCUCACCAUGAGGUAAAGUGUGAGAUCAAUACAAAGUGUAAUAGUCCCCCUUUUUCUUGGAUGACCAUAAAUGACGGGUCCAAAUUAGACAACCGACAAGUAUGACUAGGUCAUCGACUGGAGUAAACGACAACACUUGCCUAUUUUACUAUUUUAGGCUGUAUAGUGAAUUACGUUGCUAGUGUAGACUUAUAACCCACAUACGUAGAUAAAAUGGGAUACCAUAUUUAUUAAAUACUCUGAACAUUGGUUGCAUUUAUAUGAAUUCUAUUGGCCAAGGACUUCCCUAGCUGUGUAGUCAAACAAUCAAUCAAACGAUUAAUCAGGUAAGGUAAUUCCUCCAGAUGAUCGCUAAAUUAGGAUAGGUGAUAAUCGAUUGGGUAGGGUAGAUGGUCUUACAUUAGAUUAUAUACAUACAUAUUAUCUGGUAAAGUUUGUUUGCAGGAAUGUCAUUAUGAUUUAUUAUCAUUAAAAUACUAUGGGCUUGAAAACAAUAUGCAUCUUACUAGGUUACUCAAACCCGACCCACUCAAUUUAUAUGCAUCAUAGGUAGUGCAACUAAGGCUGCUGGAAACUAAUUAGUAUGUUGAGUGAAAUAAGAGACAGGUCUUUAAUAGUAUUUCAGGACUUUUUAGUAUUUACAUUGUAACCUAUGUUUGUAUAUAAAUGAUGACAUCCUUGGUAUUUCAAUACAAUAAAAUAACUUUUGUUAUCUCAAAAUGUUUUAGUUAAAUUGGAAUUUUCCGCAACUCAAUAACAUAAAAAUAAAUUAAAAAAAAAUUUAAUUGAUUCUGAAAAUUUUGGGAUGUCACAUCUAUACACUAUAACAAGGCAGUUGAAAUAAACAAAAUUUACGUGUACAUGCACCCUAGGAUCUAUGUUUUUACUAAUUAUAACUACUUUAAAAAAUGUAAAUAAACUAUAGAAAUACAUAAUUGCUAACCUCUUGUGUAACUCGAUCUUAAUUUUCUUGACCCCUUCUUGAAGCUUCUUGAUCCAACCAUGUUGCUUGGAUGAGAGGACCAAAAGUUGAAUUUACCUAAUGGAAUCACACCCGCUAACUCCAAGGAAAUAACCAAAAGAAAUCUAUGAUAUUGAUUAAUCUCAACAAACCCUAAUAAGGUUUGGAAAUUGUCCCAUAGAAGUAAAGAAAGGGAUUGACAAAAUCUUCAUAGUUAAUGUGCAAGGAGGAAUGAAAAAUCUCCCAUCCUAUUCAUAGCCUUAAAGCCUAAGCCAAGUUUCAUCUCCUAUCCCAUAUCGGACGGAGGGAGAAUUUCAAAUUCUUCUUACCCUUUAAGGGUUUUGGAAUAUUCCAAUUAGUUAAUCUUUUAACUAAUUAAUAUUCAACCUGUAACAUCCAUAAAAUUCAUAAAAAAAAAUUAAACUUUUCAAACAUUCCAAAACCAUCCAGUGCUUACAAAUUGUUUUCAAAAUAGUUUAACAUCAGAGAAAAUCUCAGAAAUCAUAACAUAAAAUAUGAGGAGGUGUACGAUCAAGCCUUCGCCUUCCCGUGAUCAUCUGAUGUACCUGAAACAAAAUCCACAACUGUAAGCCCAAAGCUUAAUGUGUGUUCCCCACAAUACCACCACAUAAACAUAACCAAUAACAACAUGCAUAAUGAGCCUUCAACCUGACUGGACCGCCUCGUAGGGCCUUCAACCUAUUUGGACGGCACCCGAGCCUUCGACAUGACUGGACCGCCUCACAAGGCCUACAGACUAUCCAACCCACUCCCCGGGCCUUCAGCCUCACUGGACCGCCUCACAGGGCCUACAGUCUAUCAGGACCGCCCAAGGAAUCUUGGCCUUUAACACAAAGCGGGAGCGCCUCAACCCCAUCAUACACAAACCAUAUUGACAUAUACAUAACAAUUAAGCAUAUAACCAGCCAACAAACAAACAGGCGGAUCUUAUAGAUCACAAAGCACAUCAUCAUCCUAUCUAACAAGAUACAUAUAUAACAGAUCACAACAACAUAACAACAUACUAUCUAUUAGGAUACAUAUCUAACAGAUCACAACAGCAUAGUAACAUCCUAUCUACCAGGAUACAAAUAUAACAAAUCACUACAGCAUACAAGUAUAUGAUACACCAUGAUAACAUUCCAAAAGGGUCGGCCUUGGUGCCUUCGACCCUGAUAGUAUAGUGAGGAAAACUCACCUCACAAGUAGUGCUAAACUGGUAAUAUCAAUCCCAACUCACAACUCCAACUCAACUGACUACAAUUAGCAAGUGAAUAACCUCAUCAAAAUCCUGAAAUGCUUGAAAUACCCUCAAGGUCAAACUUGGUCGACCAUGGUCAGAGUCAAAGUCAGCAGUCAAGGUCAACAGUCCAUGUUGACCCGAAUCGUCGAGUGCAUCUAGUGACUCGUCGAUUUCCUUCAUAUAUCAUAAAAUCCUGAAAAGAUCGAGACAACUCGUUGAGUUACCAGAGCAACUCGUCGAGUUCUUCAGUAUCCAGAAAGCAACAAAACCCGACUCAACUCAUCGAGUUGACUAAGCAACUCGCCGAGUUGUCCUAGUAUUAAUACAUCCAGUCUCUUUCCAAACGAGUCUAAUGCCUCCAAAUUAUAGAUAUGGUCCCUUAGGGUUGAGAUAUCACGUAAAGUUGCAAGUUUUACGUCCGUGUAUGGCGUCAAGAGGCUAAAACACUAAAAUCAAGCAUAUUAAGGUACUUAGAGCAUGAAGAAGGGCCAAGACUUGAUAAAGUUGGCGACUUUAAGUCCAUGGAGGCCAUGAGAUGUCCAAAUCUGAAACCAUUGCUACAUAACAUGCUCAAAUAUAAGAAUGGCCCCAAAAUAAGUUAAUAAUGGCCAUAAAGUUUCAAAAGAAAAGAUCUAGCAAAGGGAUGAUCAAUAUAACGACUUUAUACCUGAAAAUUGUUGCAAAAACAUUGAAAAUCCCGGAUCUAAAGUUUCUACCUCCAACUUUGCACCACCAACUUCACACUCUUUCAAGAAAAGCACCAAAGAACACUCUUUAAGUUUCCACACACUCAAAAUGGGGAAAAAGGCACGAUUAGGGUUUUCUCUGGACUGAGGGGACAAUGAGGGAGACUAACAAUGGGUCAUAAGGUCUUUAAAUAAGGUGCAAAACCCUGAAAAUUAGGGUUUCAUGUUCAGCCCUCAACUCGUCGAGUUGGGGCCUUCCAACUCNNNNNNNNNNNNNNNNNNNNNNNNNNNNNNNNNNNNNNNNNNNNNNNNNNNNNNNNNNNNNNNNNNNNNNNNNNNNNNNNNNNNNNNNNNNNNNNNNNNNNNNNNNNNNNNNNNNNNNNNNNNNNNNNNNNNNNNNNNNNNNNNNNNNNNNNNNNNNNNNNNNNNNNNNNNNNNNNNNNNGACUUAAAUUAAAAAAUUCGAAGUUAAUUCAAAAUUUGUUUCUGAUUAAUUUAUUAAACAUAAUAAAUUAAUAAACUUAUUUUCUCCUUACUUCUAUUUUUUCUAAUUCCUCAUUUGUUUCUUGAGACCAACCCAAAAAGAACCAUGUUAUUAUUUAGAAAUAUUACCAAUAGUUACGACUUUGAACACUAUUUUCAACAAAAAUAAAAGUCAAGUCAUGGUGAAGGCAGAUUUCUACUGGGAAACCAUCACUCACAACCAUUGUACUUGGAACUCAUGUUUUAAACCAACUAUACAAAUCACAUAUCGCUCAAACAUAACUCGAAGAGACCUUCCUAACUUUCGAUGUCUUACAAUUUGUCUCAUGUGAGACGCUAUCAUUUGCAUUCUCUAGGCCAAUUAACAUCUUGUGUAGAUCGUUACUAAUUUCUCAAUAUUUAUGCAUAAGAUGUCGAAGUUGGUUAAUAGCCUUAAUAAUACCCCAUUCAUCGCAUCACCUUCACUGAACCAUCAAACCACAUAUAAAUCCACAAUUAAUCUUUCAUUAAACCAUUAACUCAACAAAUAUGUUACGAUUUUCAUUGUAAAAAAUUAAAGUUGUGGAACAUACUUUUUGUCAAACAACAUUUGUUUUCUUCGAACCAAAUAAUCAAACCAUUCAAACCUAAAUUUUAUUUUACGAAAUGAUCAAUUUAAAGCUGGAUAUAAAACCUGAUGCAAUCAUAAACCAAAAGAAGAAUCGAAAAUUGACACCAAAGUCUUAAACCCAAAAUAUAAAAACUAGAAAAAAGCUAAAUAGCAACAAGUUUUGAUGCAAAUGGAUGGCAAUGAGUUGAAUAUUUAGGUUUGGACAUGAGUUCACUACUGUGAGUGUGUGAUGAAGUUGCAUAUUUAAAUUUCAACACAUCAGCAAAAACUAGGGCCAUAUAUGUCACACCAGCAAAUCAAGGGAUUUCCAACAAUAGGCAAAUAAGGGGAAAAUGACUGUUGAGGGUAAUUAACUUUUGUGUUUGUACUUAUUUGGUCCCUUUCCUUUUUCGUAUUAAAUAUAUCAUCGAACUUGUUGUUUGUGUUCACCAUAACCCUUUUGACCGACUUUUGACCUGUGAUAGCCGGUUAAAGGGUUAUGGAGAACAUAAACAACAAGUUCGAUGGUAUAUUGUGUAAAAAAAAGGAAAGAGACCAAAUGAGAACAAACUCACCAGUUGCUUACCCUCCUGAGUCAUUUUCCCUUUACUCAUUUAUAGCAAAUCUCACGUCAUCUCCUACUGUUAUUAAUGACUUUAUGAGAUUCAUUCUUGCUUCUCUUCAAAACAUAACCCACGAAAGAACACUAUUCAUACAUGUAUAACUUUGUAAUGCACUUGAAUAUUUAUUAAGGGAAUCUUGACUAAGCAUACGCAUUUCAUGACUACAUUUACAUUUUCCAAUCGAAUGAUUUAUUGUAUCAUGGAUUCUAGACAAGUCUACAAACAAGUGGAAUCACAAAUGCUUUGAUUUUUGAGUUUACUUAGUUUUAAGAUCGAAUUCAUGGGAUGAGAUACAACAUCAAUAUCUACAAUAUCAUGUUGCUUUUGCAGACAUAUCACCAUAAUAUACCUUGAGGUAAACGUUUAUGCUGAUAAAUAUGCCUUUCAUACACAAUCAUAUCAUUUUGAAGAGAUGUGUUGACAGCUAACCACAGUAAGCAUAGCAUAGACCAUGUUUUAACGAAGUUAUCCAUUUGAAACGCUUUUCAUAUACGUUAUAGCCAAAGAAGGUUACAGUAUUUGAUAAUUUUGCAGCUUUAAUUUCAUUUAACUUUUCGGGGAAAAUGACUCAGGAGGGUAACCAACUGUUGAGUUUGUUCUCAUUUGGUCUAUUUCUUUUUUUUGUACUCAAUAUACCAUCGAACUUGUUGUUUAUGUUGACUAUAACCCUUUGACCGGCUAUCACAGGUCAAAAGUCGGUCAAAAGGUUAUGGUGAACACAAACAACAAGUUCAAUUGUAUAUUGAAUACAAAAAAAAGGACCAAAUAAAUUCAAACGCAAAAGUUAAUUACCCUCAAUAGUCAUUUUUCCGGCAAAUCUUCAUAUUUUAAUAAAAUAAUAGUUUUAUUCUCCUUUUGACAUGUGUCAUCUUAUUAAACCUCUUAAUUAAUGCAUGUUUUAUUUUUCUUUUACCAUGUGUCACCACAUUAUGUCUACUAAUUAAUAUUUGCCACAUGUCAACCUAUUGAUUAUCAUUUUAAAUUUUAAAUUUUCCACUCUAUCUACAUUAAAUUAAUACAAAUUAUAAAGUGAUAAUUCCACAUAUUUAUUUAAAAUCAAUAAUUAUAGUUUUAUAUAACUAAAAAAUCUCCUAAUUAAUAAUUUAUUUAAAACAAUUGAUUAAUAAUUUUAAAUUUUCACUAAAAAAACUUAAUUAAUUUUGUAACCAUGGUUCCCACGGGUUAUAAAAUAGUAAACCUAACAAUUUGAGACAGAAUACUCAAAUCCAUUUAUGACGACACGUCACAAAUAUAUUUUGAAAAGGAGAUAAAACUUAUUUCUAUUCAUGUCUUCAUCUAUGUAAAUUCAUGUGUAUAUUCAGUUUCAAUCAAAUCUUUUUCCUUUUAAAGAACCAGAAGUUUCAUGAAUCACAUCUUAAUGUCACGCCAAUUUAUCAUCCUUAAAACGAUGAUACAUGAUCCCCGGAACCAAAUCAAGAAGCACUAAUUUAAAAAUGUACGAUUCACAAUGGCGUCACAAUCUGCUUGAUAAAUUGAACAGAAUAUCUAGUUUGAGGGACCAAGAACACAGAACAAUCAAUAAUCAAGAAUUUUCAAUCAAAUUUAAAAUACGAACAUAAGAGCAACACUUUUAUUGAUAUUGCUCAACAAAUGGUGACAUUUCAUAAAAAUCACGUAUUAUAACAAAACUCGUGGUUAUAACAAGCAAGUUGACGAGAUCUAUCCCAUAGAUGAAAGACAAAGGCGCGGAUAGAUUACAGAUGUUUUGAAUUCAUAAUUCCAAGAAACAAAAUCCGGAUCCAUAAAAUCAUUAUCGAACCAUAACGAAAGUUAAUUAAAACGAUACAUUAAGAUAGAUUCUACAAACACAUCACGAGAUAUGAGGUUCUAACACUAGUAUUUAACACCAACACUUUGCAACAAAAUAUUAAAAUAUCAAACCAAUUUACUCAGGAACUGGUAAAUUUGGUCACGGCCUUAGUGCCCUCGGACACCGCAUGCUUGGCCAAUUCACCAGGAAGUACAAGUCGCACGGCGGUUUGUAUCUCCCUGGAUGUGAUGGUUGGCUUCUUGUUGUACCUUGCGAGCCUUGAACUCUCCUGCGCCAAUUUCUCGAAAAUAUCGUUUAUGAAACUGUUCAUGAUUCCCAUCGCUUUGCUGGAGAUACCGAUGUCGGGAUGAACCUGCUUCAACACCUUGAAGAUAUAGAUCUUGUACGUCUCAACGCUCUUCUUGU